rnacentral:rRNA from 5 species
AUCUAGGCUCUUGCAUCGAUGAAGAACGUAGCGAAAUGCGAUACUUGGUGUGAAUUGCAGAAUCCCGUGAACCAUCGAGUCUUUGAACGCAAGUUGCGCCCGAUGCCAUUAGGUUGAGGGCACGUCUGCCUGGGUGUCACAUAUCGAAUGCCUCCUGCCAAUUUC